UCCCUUAGCAUGUUUUCCUCCCAUUGGCUCGGGGUCCCUUGCUGGCAGUGCUGCAGCUUUGCAGGUACCACAUUUAAGGGUGUUCUCUGUCUGCUGCAAGUCCCUGCAAACUGACAGGAGGGACCUGGAGUUAAAGAUCACAUGAGCAGCGUUGGAUAACAAAGUUUUGUCACAGUAAGGUGCAAAGAGCCUCUGUCAUGCAGGCAGGUCAUACAGCAGACACUAUGGUAUGAAGGAGCAGCUAAAAGACCUAGGCUCCUUUUUUCACAUCAGGCAGCCUUGGCUCUGACCAUAUAAAAGAAAAUGAAUCUUACCUGAAAGAUCCUUAAUGCUCCACUAGGGGGCCCCACAGUAGCUGGUAGAGGGGCUCCACGAUGAGAAGGUUGAAGGCUGGAUGGAGAUUUUCUGUUCAAGGACUCUACUAUCAUAUCAGGGACAUCCAUUUUAACGAUGCUGUGCUGAGAGUUGAAAUAGACCAUGGAGAGUGGCCGCCGCUCAGUGGGAAUGCAGCAUGAAGCCGUGCCUGUGUUGAUGCCAUUGACUUUAAGCUGGCUGAAGACAGUAGUGUGGAAUGAGGAUGCUAUGCCGGGCGAGCCAGCCAGAUGUGGGGGGCACUGACCCAUGCAGUAGUUCAUGUGGUAGCCUUCAGGUGCAAUGAUCCACUCAUCCCACUUGAUGUCCUUAAACCUGAUGUAGAAGUCUCUCUUGCAGCAGACCGUCACCUCAUCGCCACAGCGCAGUGAGCGUUUUCUGACUAAAUGCUUGGAGUGGUCAUCGCGCAGACGCACCUGGGCCACCAUGAAGGGCUGGUUUGCUCUGUCAACCGAGCCAUCUAAAGAGCAGAGGUUCCUUCCAUCCUCUAUACAGCUGACCUCAAGCCGGAGCCGUCUCUGACCUCCAUCCAAGAAAGUCUGUAGUGUGCGUGUUAUUGUGAAGGUGUGCCAGUUACUCUCUUUGACUUCCAGCAUCUUUUCUAUUACCAGGGUGCGAUUAGAGCCUGAGGUUCCUUCGUCUGCUGAGAGGAAGACCCGGGCAAGCAGGCGAGAGUUCCGGUAAGGAUCCUCAGAGGGUUGAGCGUAGAUCCACAGAGAGGACUGGAGGACUUGGAUGCUCUUGCCACGUUCCUGUAGAAACUGAAAGGUGCAGCUUGUCCAAAAGUUGCUGUUUUGCGAUCUCUAUCAUCAGCCUCUCCUCUGCCUCUUUCUCCAACGGUGGUAAGCCACAGGAUGCGCAGCCUGGGGAGCCGCACACCCAGAGACCCUUCUGCAGUAAAGUUGGCAGUAGUAGAAACAGUGAGAUGAGUGAAAAAGACGUCGUCAUCCUCCAGUGUGAAGCGAGGAUUUGCAUUUUCGAACUAAGUAAUUUGACUAAUAAAAAUCUUUUAAAAUCUAUUCUUUUAGUGCUUCUUUCCACUUGGUGUGGUCAGAUGCUCUUGCUGGAAACUCUGGUGCAGUGAAGAAAGACGCUGAAGAAGCAG